rnacentral:rRNA from 1 species
CCUACGGGAGGCAGCAGUGGGGAAUAUUGGACAAUGGGGGCAACCCUGAUCCAGCCAUGCCGCGUGUGUGAAGAAGGCCCUCGGGUUGUAAAGCACUUUCAGUGAGGAAGAACGCCUGGUGGUUAAUACCCAUCAGGAAAGACAUCACUCACAGAAGAAGCACCGGCUAACUCCGUGCCAGCAGCCGCGGUAAUACGGAGGGUGCGAGCGUUAAUCGGAAUUACUGGGCGUAAUGCGCGCGUAGGUGGCUUGAUAAGCCGGUUGUGAAAGCCCCGGGCUCAACCUGGGAACGGCAUCCGGAACUGUCAAGCUAGAGUGCAGGAGAGGAAGGUAGAAUUCCCGGUGUAGCGGUGAAAUGCGUAGAGAUCGGGAGGAAUACCAGUGGCGAAGGCGGCCUUCUGGACUGACACUGACACUGAGGUGCGAAAGCGUGGGUAGCAAACAGGAUUAGAUACCCCUGUAGUC